rnacentral:rRNA from 1 species
AGCAGCCGCGGUAAUUCCAGCUCCAAUAGCGUAUAUUAAAGUUGUUGCAGUUAAAAAGCUCGUAGUUGAAUUUCGGGAUCAAUUAAUUGGUCGUGCCUCUGGUACGUACUGAUUUUAUUGGUUUCUCCCUUCUGACGAACCAUGAUGUCAUUAAUUUGGUGUCGUGGAGAAUCAGGACUGUUACUUUGAAAAAAUUAGAGUGUUUAAAGCAAGCUAACGCUUGAAUACAUUAGCAUGGAAUAAUGAAAUAGGACGUUUGAUCCUAUUUUGUUGGUUUCUAGGAUCGACGUAAUGAUUAAUAGGGAUAGUUGGGGGCAUUAGUAUUCAAUUGUCAGAGGUGAAAUUCUUGGAUUUAUUGAAGACUAACUACUGCGAAAGCAUUUGCCAAGGAUGUUUUCAUUAAUCAAGAACGAAAGUUAGGGGAUCGAAGACGAUCAGAUACCGUCGUAGUCUUAACCAUAAACUAUGCCGACUAGGGAUCGGAUGAUGUUGUAUUU